rnacentral:lncRNA from 1 species
AAGUUUAGUAAUUGAUGCAUUGGUAUCCAUGGAUCAGUAUAUUAUAAGCUUUACUCCGAGAGCUAUAUGGCAUUCAUUAGUUUCAUGGUUUUCUAUAGGCUCUACAUAUAAGCAGCUUCAAACAGGCGGUCAUCGCAUCUUUCACACCACCGCAUGCAUCAUCACCAACAACCUCCUGACCGCCAAUGCCCAGGUCUUGUCGUUGCUGUCAGCCUGUCACAGGAAUGUAGUAAGCUUAUUGUAUUUUUAGAUUAUAGAAUUAUAUAUGUAUGCUAAAGAACAUAACUGCGAUAACAAUAUCUUUAUAAAUAGGCGAAACUAUGAAGUACUACUUUAUUAAUUGUAAGUGUCUAUCACAUAAAAUGGCAUUUGCUCUCACUAAACUAAUAAAUCCCUAUUUGUUAUCACUGAGAUCCUCACUAAAUAGAUUAAAAAUCAAUUUAUCCCUAAGAUAAGGUUUAGGGCAGCCUUAACCUGUGAUUAGGAGACAGCGAAGGCAAUCAUUGCUGCACUUGUUGAACAUGUGCACAAGCUUCAUAAUCGGUUAGGCAUAAAACCGACUAAUAUGUUAAGUAAAGGCGAUAACAACUGUUCUAUAAUUAUGUAACUGCUGCAUUACUCAUUUAACUGGAAGCGAUAAAAAGAAGAAAGGAGGAAUGUUAUUUUCCAGUAGCUGCUGCACUGGGUACAUAAGGACUACCCAUUUUUUUUCCUUUAUAGAACAGUCAGGAUAAAUUAAAUCUAAAACAAAUUAUGGAUAUGUAACAAUUGUUCAUCUAACUGGAACUAUAUAAAGGACUUACCGGAUAUUACAUCAUUUAACUGGAAGUUACAUAUCACAUAAGGGACUUAAUAGGCAGUACAUCUAAAAACUUAGUAUAGAGAUUUACACUUGUAUGGCUCUAGUUCAUGGUGUCACCAAAGGCUGGCCAACGAUGGUAGUGAUAACUGAGAAUGGAAAAUUGAAAACUGGAAGCUUUUCCGUCCCAAAUUAUAAGUCAUUCCAAGAAUCUUGGAGAGUCAAAGUUUUCAAGUUUGACCAAAUUUAUAUAGCAAAGUAAUAACAUUUUUGGUACCAACCAAGUAUCAUUAGAUUAUUUUUUAGUUAUAUUUUCAUAGUGUACCUAUUUUAUGACAUAAAUCUUUAUAUUUCUCUCUAUAUUUUUGGUCAAACUUUAAAAUGCUUUGACUCUCCAAGAUUCUUGGAAUGACUUAUAAUUUGGAACAGAGGGAAUAGUUUCUAAAAGACUUUGGAGUGCAAAAGCAAGCAUAGGAUUUAAAAAAUAGACCAAAAUGGUAUCUUUGAAAUUACCUGAACCCCUCUCCUUUUGUCGGGAACCCAGGAAUCAAGACAUGCAACAGUAGCCCAGGAAUCAAGAACUGCAAGGGGACAAUAAAUAACUAAAAUGACAAUGUUAUCUCAAAAUGCUAUCUCAAAAUUCACUUGCGGAAUGAUGAUGUUGUUUCUCGAACAAAAAUUUACGCACAAGAAUAAAAGUCAUUAUAAAAACAUGGGCAAGCAUUAACCAAAAUAACCUAGCUAAAAACUUGGUGGAAGCAACUAUUGAGGUACUAAACUGCAAAGGGAAAUCUACACCUAAGUAGGGGAAACCAUCAAGAAAUUUAAUUCUAGAUGUUAUCAGGAGGGAUUAGAACAGGAUAGAUGUUACCAGCAU